GGAGGUUCGAUGUUAACGUCAAAUAGUAGAUGGUUUUGAGGAUCAAUGCAACCUUCUUGGUCUACUGAACUUUCUUUGCCAGGAAAUGGUGCUAGCAUGACAGAACGUUGAGAGGCGUUAGGCUGCUCAGAACCGAAUUGUUGUCCCUGGGGCAGAACACAUUCAACUUCGGAAGGGGCCAUUGGUUCAACAGCGAUUCGCUUGGACACCCAGAGAUCAGAGGGGAUUAGUGACUUUGUUCUGGGCAAACUUGGAAGGUGAGAUGAAUCUUCAGGUGAAAAUGGUCGCAAAAUGUUAUGCAAUGGAGAGUUGCCAGAUCUCGACACGACUGUACUGUUGGAAUCUUGGAAGUUCUGCUGCUGGGGGAAUGUAGAUAUUGUCUGCGGGAGAGGAGGG
rnacentral:misc_RNA from 1 species